rnacentral:rRNA from 1 species
GAUGAACGCUAGCGGCAGGCCUAAUACAUGCAAGACGAACGGUAAGAUUUUUAGCCCUAGAGAUCCUAGAGUGUCGUAAGGGUGCGUAACCCGUAUGCAAUCUGCCCUCAACAGGCGAAUAGCUCCCCGAAAGGGGAAUUAACACUCCGUAAUCUCACAUAAUGGCAUCCUUAAGUGAUUAAAACUCAGGUGGUUGAGGAUGAGCCUGCGCAUGAUUAGUUAGUUGGCGGGGUAACGGCCCACCAAGACGAUAAUCAUUAGGGGAACUGAGAGGUUGAUCCCCCACGCUGGCACUGAGAUACGGGCCAGACUCCUACGGGAGGCAGCAGUAGGGAAUAUUGGACGAUGGGUGCGAGCCUGAUCCAGCCAUGCCGCGUGCAGGAAGACGGCCUUCUGGGUUGUAAACUGCUUUUGCCAGGGGAUAAAACGGCUCUGCGGAGCUAAUUGAAGGUACCUGGUGAAUAAGCCACGGCUAACUACGUUCCAGCAGCCGCGGUAACAC